GGAAGCGUGCCCGAGCAAGGACUACCUUGAUAGAGUAGACACGGAAAAUAAAAUUUCCCGCCUCCC
rnacentral:tRNA from 1 species